UAAUCGGAAUUACUGGGCGUAAAGCGUGCCUAGGCGGUGAGUUAAGUCUGCUGUGAAAUCCCCGGGCUCAACCUGGGAAUGGCAGUGGAUACUGGCUCGCUAGAGUGUGAUAGAGGAUGGUGGAAUUCCCGGUGUAGCGGUGAAAUGCGUAGAGAUCGGGAGGAACAUCAGUGGCGAAGGCGGCCAUCUGGAUCAACACUGACGCUGAGGCACGAAAGCGUGGGGAGCAAACAGGAUUAGAUACCCUGGUAGUCCACGCCCUAAACGAUGCGAACUGGAUGUUGGUCUCAACUCGGAGAUCAGUGUCGAAGCUAACGCGUUAAGUUCGCCGCCUGGGGAGUACGGGUCGCAAGACUGAAACUCAAAGGAAUUGACGGGGGCCCGCA
rnacentral:rRNA from 1 species